GAUGAAGAACGUAGCGAAAUGCGAUAAGUAAUGCGAAUUGCAGAAUUCAGUGAGUCAUCGAAUCUUUGAACGCACAUUGCGCCCUGUGGUAUUCCGCAGGGCAUGCCUGUUCGAGCGUCAUUUCAACCCUCAAGCUCUGCUUGGUGUUGGGCCCUGCCCGCUGCGGCCGGCCCUAAAGACAGUGGCGGUGCCGCCUGGCCCUGAGCGUAGUACAUCUCUCGCUCCAGUGCCCGGUGGUAGCCUGCCAGAACCCCAACUCUCGUGGUUGACCUCGGAUCAGGUAGGGAUACCCGCUGAACUUAAGCAUAUCAAUAACGGAGGA
rnacentral:misc_RNA from 1 species